rnacentral:lncRNA from 1 species
GAGGGGAAGUGACGGAGGGAAGAGACAGACAACUAUUCACCUGGCCCCCGGGGCCUGCAAAGAAGAAGGGGUCAAAAAACAGAAAGAGAAAAAAAUUAGCAAUGUUGGGUUCAAAGGAGCUGGGAGAAAACAAGACUGGAUGGGAAGAGACUUCCGUGGCCAAAUGCCUGUUCCACUAUGCAUAUGCUGAUGGUAUACUAGAUGCAAGAGUUUGUGGAACAGUCUUCGUUCAAGCUACAGUAUCCCAGGAGGCUUGCUUUGCCUCCAGGCUAAACUAAACAUCUGGCAGUUCCUGCAACAGGUCCACAUGACUGGAUAGUACAUGCAGAGGGCCCACCUUUCGGAUCAUAGAUGACAUUCUUUUCCACCCAGAAAACUCUUUUGGGCAAGAAGAACCACCCUUGGCCUUGAGGAUCCAGCAAGAGGCAUCAGAGAAUCGGCUUCCUGUGUCCAAGCAUUUCCUUUUCCUCUCCUGGUACUAAAUCCCAAAUACCUCUAUCAAUCCUUUGUUCAAUGGAUUUGAAGUACUUGGGAACUAUAUUCAGGGAAUUGACAGCAUGCUGCUUUAUGAUGGAUGUUGGCUCCAACUUCAUGUCACUACACAACUUCCAGCACAACACUGGGACAUACUGCCUGAUCUCCUGUGAGAAGAAGAUGGCAGAGCUGGUGUCAUGGGCUGCUUUCCCCCACAAAGGCAGUCUUCUGAGAGUUCCUGCAAUAAGGAAAAUAGAGAUCUGUGCAAGAAAAAGAUGCUUGGCCUGUGCCCACUCUGCUCUUUCCAGAAGCAGGGCAUGAACUGCAGAGUCCUCUCUACCUCCCGCUCCCUACAUUCCCUUUAUCCAGGGCCCCCACUCUCCCAAGCAAUAUUCACUAUCAACUUCAAACUCGUGCUUUGCAGAAAGAGCACUGCCUCAGAAGGACACACUCCUGCCCCUUACUUAGCCAAUGCUCUCUGCACCUCUGGGGCCAAUCUACAGACCUGGUUGAGAUCACCAGCCACCCCUCCGCAUGUCCGGAUCCUGGCCUUGGACAGAAUCUAGUGCUUAGUAGGGACACAAAACUGUGCAUAGCACCCAGGCCUUCAAAGGCAGGCACCUAACUCUGCUAGUAGGUGAUCUGGGCACACUCAUUACCAAAGCCUAGAUUUCCUCACUUGAAAGUAGACAUGAUAACACAGGCACUACUUUAUCCUGGCUGCCAUACACAGUAACACUACUGCAUGCCUGGCAGCGUCAAGAAGUACCUUAAAAGUCAUUAACACAUCCAGUUCACAAUACCCAGGCAAGACAAACUCUCACAGAGGUCAAGAGAUGCAUCUAAAAUCACACAAGGUGGAAAGCUGUAGAGUCUGUAGAGUCUUACCCAGAGAGUCUAUCUUCACAGUCCCUGGCUCAGCUUACUGUGCGAAAUGAGUUUCUCUCUAACCCAUGUAAAGUUCUUCCUGCAUUGCCUGAAACACAGUAGAAGCUCAAUAAAUAGAGGCUAGCAUAUGCCAGGAUGCAGGUGCCUGAGUGAAGCGGACACCCGUCGUGACAGGGCUCUUGAAUAGAGGCUCAUUUCCUUCCAACUCCAGUAGCCUUAAAUCUAGUGAAUGCACUGUCCAUCUGGAUAGCCCAGCAGGCCCCCACACUGUGCCCAGAGGCCAGUGAACACCUGUAGAACACGGAACAGAGCACACCUCCAUUAUUAACUGCCUCACAUCCUCACAACGAAGGCCGCUCACUCCUCCCUGCCUUGUGAGAGCUGAGAAUUUCAAUAUCUCAGCAAUGUAUCGGGUAGAUGGACAGUCCAGAGGGAGCCUUAAUUCUUAGCAAUAUUCUAUGGCCCUGGCUCAGCUUCCAAAUGAAAAGGAGAUUAUUCCAUUUCAUUAGCUGCUUUAUGCAGUGCUUAUACUGUUCGUCACUUUCGUUUCCAAAACAUUUCCAGUAAUGAUGUCCCAUGCACAGUGAUUCUGGUUAAGUAAGGCGAGAAGAAGGCUUUGGUGCUUUACCGAGGCCUUGAGGGGACGAGGAGGGAGAAGAACUUCAGAUAAUGGCAUAGAUGUCAAGGCAGAAUCAGUAACAUCCCCGAGCUCUUGUAACUGGGAGAAAUGAGCAUCGUCGAGGAAAGCACCCAGUUUUGAAGGCGCAGCAAUCCCAACACUCAUCCACACACCUUCAAUAGGGGGAAAAGAAGACACCGACAAGUCUCACAAACCAGACUCCUCCAGGCAAAAGCUCAUGUCACAAGCACCAUGUGGCCUUAUUAUUUUAAAGUCAACACAUUAGGUUUACAUCUUGGUGAGUGCAAAAUAAGCACAGACGAGACGUGAAAAGAGCAGAGAAAAAUACAUUGCCAGUAUCAAGUCAUGUGAAGGCAUGAUUCUAAAAGUCAGACCUCUCCCAAACAGAGGAAGCAUAGGAUUCUAUUGUGGAGGGGCAAUAUAUAUAUAUUCAUGUAAGGAUCAGCCCAUUCGUGAGUGUGCUCAGUUUAAAAGUCAAAAUCUCAAAAAGAGCAGACAAACAUUUGUAGACAUGCUUAGCUCAAAGUCAUGGAGUACUUCUGGUAGAUAUGUAGAAAAUUAAAAUGAUAAACAGGGAUGUCUCUGGGCAUGCUCAGUUUGCACCAUAAAGUCUUGUUUUGGUUUGGUUUUUUCAGUAGAUCUCAGACCUUCACACAACUGACAUCGUGAUGGGAGUUACCCUUCCUUCAGGUCAUGGAACCCAGCACACAGGCAGCAGUAACACAUGCCAAGACAAGGACAAAACCCCAUUUUUAUCAAAGUCCAUAGUUCUGGGAAAGUCUCUAAAUGUACUAACCUUGCUCUUUUGCCUUCUGUAGUUCCACUUCUGGCUAGCUGUUCUUGCUAAGUGAGGAUAUGGUUUUGUUUUUUCAAACUUUACCCUGAGAAAGGCAGAGGGCUACACUGGGAUCCUGCCGGCCAGCUAAUGAAGACUUUCUACUGCUUAAAACCUCUGUCCAAAAAGAGUCUUCUCUGGCAGAUACCCUACAACAGUUUCAAAGCACUUUGUUUUGAUCUUACCUUUUGAAAUUACAUCAUUUCCCACUUCUGUUUCCUUCAUCCAACCCCUUUUAUGUAUUUUCCUCCUCAAAACUCAUGGCCUCUUUUUAAUUGUGUGUAUAUAUGUGUGUAUACAUACCUAAAUAUACCUUCUCAGUUCAU